rnacentral:tRNA from 1 species
GGCAAUAUAGCUCAGUGGUAGAGCAUUUGCUUGGCAUGCGUGAGGCUCUGGGUUCAAUCCCCAGCACCA